rnacentral:misc_RNA from 1 species
AAGUCGUAACAAGGUUUCCGUAGGUGAACCUGCGGAAGGAUCAUUAACACGUAUCCAACGUUAAACCCCCCCGUGAACGUACAACAUUCCUUCUCGGCUUACAGAAAUAUUGGUUGCAAUCCCUAGUAAAUCAUCGCCGAACAGUUUUCGAUUUAGGGACUUCCACAAAGAGUGUGCUCGUAGCGCGAGGCAAGUGGCCUGGCAUUCCCAAGCAGUUGGUGUCUGAAAGUGUCACUGGCUGUGUAAGGAUGGCGCAGUCACGAUCGUUGGAGGCCGACACGGCCGACGACCGGGUCACCGGGCUCACGCCCCUUAAUCACAACUUAAUGCAUGUCAGACGCGCCUGCGCUUAAUUGUGCGGCGACCAUAAAACUCGAACAACUGUUAACAAUGGAUAUCUUGGUUCUC